rnacentral:rRNA from 1 species
AAAAUUAUUGAUUAAAUUUUAAAUUUAAUGUAAUAAUGAUAAAAUUAGUAUAAUUUUAUGUAAUUUUAAUUUAAAUUAGUAAAGGUUAAGUUAAGGAACUCGGCAAAUUAUCUUUUCUCGCCUGUUUAUUAAAAACAUGUCUUUUUGAUAAUAAUUUAAAGUCUGACCUGCCCUAUGAUAUUUAUUAAAUGGCCGCGAUACUUUGAUCGUGCAAAGGUAGCAUAAUAAUUAGUUUUUUAAUUGAGAACUGGUAUGAAUGGUUGGACGAGGAAAAGGCUGUCUCAAUUUAAUUUAAUUAGAAUUUUAUUUUUAAGUAAAAAAGCUUAAAUGUUUUUAAAAGACGAGAAGACCCUAUAGAGUUUUAUAUAAAAUUAGUUUUUGGCGUAAAAGAAUUUAAAGUUAAAAAAUUAAUUUUGUAUUUGGUUGGGGUGACUAAAAAAUUUAAUGAACUUUUUUUAAAAUAAACCAUUGAUUUAUGAAUAAGUGAUCCAUUGAUAAUGAUUAAAAGAUUAAAUUACCUUAGGGAUAACAGCGUUAUUUUUUUUGAGAGUUCUUAUCGAAAAAAAAGUUUGCGACCUCGAUGUUGGAUUAAAAUAAACUUUUGGUGUAGCAGCUAAAAUAGUUGGGUCUGUUCGACCUUUAAAAUUUUACAUGAUCUGAGUUUAAACCGGUGUAAGCCAGGUUGGUUUCUAUCUUUAAAUAAUUUAAAUAUUUUAGUACGAAAGGACCAAGUAUU